rnacentral:rRNA from 1 species
UACGUAGGUGGCAAGCGUUGUCCGGAUUUAUUGGGCGUAAAGAGCGUGUAGGCGGCCAAACAGGUCAGCUGUGAAAACUCGAGGCUCAACCUCGAGACGUCGGUUGAAACCGUUUGGCUAGAGUCCGGAAGAGGAGAGUGGAAUUCCCGGUGUAGCGGUGAAAUGCGCAGAUAUCGGGAGGAACACCGGUGGCGAAGGCGGUUCUCUGGGCCUUACCUGACACUGAGGAGCGAAAGCGUGGGGAGCGAACAGG